rnacentral:rRNA from 1 species
AUGCGCACACAACCGGCGACCAACAUCACACAAAGGUCGCCACCGCCGGCGGUGGAAGGACAGUCUUCUCCCGCCGCUAGCCGCAGCCUCCGCCUCGCCCUGAUCCUCGGCCUCCUCGACCGCCGCUCGCUCUCCUCGGAAGCACCUCGCCGCCUCCCUGCCCAUGCCGUGUUCGCCGACUGCCCUGCUCGCGCCGACCUCGCCAAUCUCGCGGCCGCACUUGGCAGUGCUCGACUUGUCCUCGCCGCCUCCAGCGGCGCCGGGUCCUUCCCGUGCCUCUACCGCCUCCUGGACGAGUCAUCCUCUCCCCAAAUCGACACCCGCCCCUUUGUCGAGCCUGUCGUGCCAGCGACAUGA